ensembl:lncRNA
UUUUUUUUUUUUUUUUUGAGAUGGAGUCACGCUCUGUCAUCCAGGCUGGAGUGAAGUGGCGCCAUCUCAGCUCACUGCAACCUCUGCCUCCAGGUUCAAGCGAUUCUCCUGCCUCAGCCUCCUUACAGGCUUGCAUCACCAUGCCUAGCUACUUUUUGUAUUUCACCACGUUGGCCAGGCUGGUCUUGAUCUCCUGACCUCAAGUGAUCCAUCCGCCUCGGCCUCACAAAGUGCUGGGAUUACAGGCGUGAGCCACCACACCUGGCCUCAUAACUUGGCCCUUAUAGAGAUGGGUAUCAAGAUGAAGAAUCUAUGGCAAGAAUAUUUUCCUUCAAAUUAUUUUUGGUAGUGUAGCCAUUCAGUAUUCAUUCAGCUUGAAGAACUCAAUAUAAACCUGGAGCUUUAGACUCUAAGUAGUGCAAUAGAAAUUUCCACAAUGAUGUAAAUGUUCCAUAACUCUGCUCUCUCCAGUAUGGUGGCCACUAGCCACAUGUGGCUACUGAGCACUUGAAAUUUGCUUAUUGCAACUAAGAAACUAAUUGUAAGUGACAUUAGCUUAAAUUUAAAUUAUCACAUGAGACUAGUGGCUAUUUACCUACAUUGUCACUCUAUAGUAAUGACUAAUUCACAAAUGUGGCCGCUUAUUGAAGUUACUUGGAGAACUUUUUUUAACACCAAAGACUGGGUCCCACCCCUCAAGGAUUCUGAUUUAAUUUGGUAUGAUAAAUAGCCUGGGCAUUAUACAUUUUUAAAACUCUCCAGGCAAUUAUAACGUGCAGUAUAUUUUGAGAACCACUGUUCUAGAAAAGACAUUCCAGAGCUAACUGGCUAGUCCAUCCAUUAGCUACAGAUGCAUUCACAUCUCUGAAUAUUAUCAACACUAUACAUAGUUUGAUUUGUGUCCCCAAAGCAAGCUCUUUACAGACAACAGGUUUCAGGAGCCUACUAUGUGGCAGGCCCUCUGUCUAUACUAACAGUACCAUUAAUGUGCUCUAAAAUAUUCAUUGUGUGGUGCUAUGCGCUUGCAAGCUUCCAUCAAUGUCCAAAGUAAAUGGCAAAUUCCAGGCAAAGGAACCUUACUGAAUUCAGAGUCUGAAUAUACAAGUUAAGUCAUCUAUAGUCAAAGGAAAAGGCCCAAGAGAAAUGAGUUGCCCCUUACCUCCACCCAAGGCACAGAGGAGAAGAGAAACCAUUUUUGACCCAGGGCACUUGCAGGGCACCCACCACUAUCUGUCCAAGACAAAACAUAAUGUCUGGGUAACUAGUUGCAUCAUAGGUAAGAGUCCCCAGAUGAGAAAUCCAAUUCACAAAUGAACAUCAGCUUGCCCUACACGUGCAUGUCCAAAGAAAUCACACAUGUGGCUUGGUGUCCUGUGCAUUCUGUGUUACAGGGAGCAUGGCAAGGGAAGAGGAGGCUGAAGCCCAGCCUGUUACUAAAUUUGUUAAUGGUACUUCCCAAGACUGACUUCUUUUCCUGCUUCACAAUCCUGUAAACUCCAACUCUUUAAUUGCCUCACUUUCUUUAUGAAUUUUCCCUCUUGCUCUUAUAAAGUAGGAGUCAAACUUUCUGAAAUGCUUGAAUUCACACUUCUUUUUUUUUCCUACUGCUGGCUGAGCAACUCUUUGGGCAGGCAACUGGUUCCUCAGUGCUAAACGACUCAUUCCAGCAACUGACCUUUGGACAGCACUUUAGCCAAAGGGACCUCUGGGGAAAGGAAAUGCAGUGAGAGAAACCACUCCAGAACUGCUGAGCCACCCUUUGUAGACUCUAUCUGCAGCUCUUCCUUGCCUCACACUUUUCUGUUGAGUAGCUUUGAUUUUUCUCUCUAAGGUGCUGAUGUCUUUAGGGAACGUCUGUUUUAUCUAUCUGGCCAAUGGUGAAAGCGAAAUGCUCCAUACAAAGAAUGAUAAACAACUACCUGAUUCCUCCUGCGCUUAGAAAAUAAAUCCUCUAUUAAAUCUUCAGUUCUUACUGCAUUAUGUUAAAUCCCACCUGGAGAGACUAUUUCACGUACCUUAACCUGAUAUGUUCAAAACAUUGGUUAAAAAGCCUGCUUUAUGAGAAACCCCAAAGAGCUUUAGAAAAACAGGAUUUGUGUUUGUUGUAGAUCAAAAUGCUGACAGAUUUAGUCAAUCAAUAAUAAAUAUGUGCUGUCUUUUCAUCUUUUUUUCUUUUUUGAGACUGGGUCUCACUCUGUCACCCAGGUUGGAAUACAGGGGCAUGAUCAUGGCUCACUGCAACCACCGCCUACUGGGUUCAAGGGAUCCUGCUGUCUCAGUCUCCUGAGCUGAGCUGACAGUCGCACACGACCACUUGGGCUAAUUUUUGUAUUUUUUGUAGAGAUGGGGUUCUGUUACGUUGCCCAGGCUGGUCUCAAACUUUUGGGGUCAGGUGAUAUGCCCACCUCGACCUCCCAAAAUGCCGGGAUUACAGGUGUGAGCCACCGCACACAGCCUGUCUUUUCAUAUUAAGCACAUUUGCCUUUUUAAAAUAUAUAUUUUUAAUUAUUAAAGGAAUACAUAAUUUUUUAAAUUAGAAAAUAUAAUUAAAGCAAAAGGUUAAUAAAAAUUACCCAGAAUACUACCAUUGAGAGAUAACUUCUGUUAACAAUUGUGUAUAUGUUCUGCUCUUAUUUUUGCCUUGAAUGACUGUGAUGAGGAUAAAUUAAGUGACAGAGAAGCACAGUUUUUCCAUGGCCCAAUGAGAUGCACAAGGAAAGCACUCUAUAGUACUAGCCUUUGGGAAAAACAGGUGACUGUACACCCUUCUGACUAUUGUAAACUCCCAUCUCCAUUUCAUGCACCCGUUGAACAUUUAAGUAGCAAUUAUUUCUUGAACAUCUUUCUGAGCGAUGUUGUAAUCAUGCUAAAAUAUUUCAUCAUUUUUCUGCCUCUAAGGAUCUUACAAUAUAGUUAGCUGUAUUCGUCCCCUAGGGCUGCCAUAACAAAGUACCACAAACUGGGUGACUUAAGCAAACAGAAGUUUAUUGCCUCAAAACCUUAGAAGCCAGAAGUCCAAGAUCAAGAAGAGCUGGGCUCCCUCUGAAACCCAAAGGGGAGAGUCCUUCCUUACCUCUUCCCAGUUUUUGAUGGUUGCCAGCAAUCCUUGACAUUCCUUGGCUUGUAAUUGCAUCACUUCAGUCUCUGCCUUUGACAUCACAUGGCUUUCUCCCAUUGUGUCUGUGUCUUCCCACAGCUUUCCUCUUCUUAUAAGAACACCAGUUAUGUUGGAUUAGAACCCUCCAUGAUGACACAUCUUAACUUGAUUAUAAUUGCAAAUACCCUAUUUCAAAAAUGGUCACAUUCACAAGUACCAGAGAUUAGGACUUAAACAUGUCUUUUAGGAGGUACACAAUUCAACCCAUAACAUUGAGGAAGUAAAAAAUAAACUCACAUGAUCCAAUUUGAGAGUAUUUCAUAGCACCAUGAAAGACCUGUAUAAUUAUGUUUUCAGGUAUGUGACCCAAACUACCAGUGCUAUGGAAAUUCAUACAACUGUUUUAAAGGAUAACAUAGUUGGGAAAGAGUUUAUGGACUUCAUUGCACCUGCAUAGGACUCACUGGGAAACAUAGAUUUGGGAUGUUAAGGACUGAAUGUUUAUAUCCUCCCAAAAUUCAUAUGUUGAAGCCCUAAUGCUCCAUGUGAUGAUAUUAGGAGGUGGGGCCUUUGGGAAGUAAUUAGGUCAUGAUGAUGAAAUCUUCAUGAAUAGAAUUAGUGCCCUUAUAACAAGAGACAUGAGAGCUUGCCUUCUCUCUCUCACACAUACAAUAUGAGGAUACAGUGACAGCGUGGCCAUAUGCAAACCGGGAAGCAGGCUCCCUCCAGAGCUGAAUCUUAAUCUUAGACUUCCCAGCCUCCAGAACUAUGAGAAAUAAAUGUUGGUAGUUUAAGCCACCCAGUCUAUUGUAAUUUGUUAUAGCAGCCCAAGCUGAUUGAGACAGGGAAGAAAUGGAAAUUUCAAGAAAGAGAUAAAAUUGAACUCUUCAGCGUAAUAAACAUAGUACUCCUUCAAAUGGCUCCCACGUUCCUCUUUGUUCUCAUGCCCAAGGAGACUUUCUCAGUGAUACUGAACCACAUAGGAAUCUCCCAAACACCUUCUUAUUUUGUACCACCAUGCCUGUGCACACGUUGCUUGUUCCAACUCGAAUGUCUCUCCUCUUCUCAUCACCAACACACCACAGCCACAGAUCAAUUUCCUACUGUCCCUUAACAAACUCAACCCUGAUAUCACUAACUCCAGGAAUUUUGUGCCUUCCAAGACAAUUAGUCACCAGCCACCCUCUGCCACCACUACACCUUGUAGCUAUUGCGUAUUAACCUGUAGUACCUUAAGGACAGAGAGACUGUGUCACAUUCAUCUCCAUAUUCUCAACAUGGAGCACAGAGCCUAACACUUAGCAAGUAGUCACCAAAGAAAUUUAGUUGAACGGAAUUGAAGGAAAUGAGGAGAGGAGUUGAGUUGGGCCCAGCAAAGGGACAGGAUCCCAAGUUGCAUUGAUGGGUAAGCUGUUGUGAAGAGAAGUUAGCCAUCACAGGGGGAAGGGGCAGAACUGCCAUGGUGGCGGGGCGGGUCUCUGAGUGAGUAAAGGCCCCGACUUGUGAACUGCCCUGUCAUGUAGGAAAACACAAAAGCAUCAAUACAACAACAGCAUUAGAUUCAAGAGGGGGAAGACGGGAGAUGUGGACAGUGGGCCCAGUGGCCGGGACCUCCUGGCACUGGGGACUAUAGAAGGCUUUCAAGCAGGGAAAUGUGUUCAGAUUUUAAUGUGAGAGACAUGGCUCAGCAGCAGCAUGGAAGAUGGCAAGGUGACAGUCAAGGCCAAAAUGAAGGGAUCUACUAAGUAAACUCCAGAGACCAGCAGUGGGGAGGAGGUGAGGGACAUGAACCAGAGGAUGGGGAGGUGGUAAUAUCAACAGAGUUGCAGUGUUGGGAAAGAAAGACUUGAGCUUUUGCACUUGAAUGAUGGGUGACAGAAUUGCUGGUCAUUGAAAUGGGAAAUAUAAGAAGAGCAGAAGGUAUGGGGUCAGGUUGGCCUUUGUGCACCUUGAAUUCCCGUGGAAUGCCUAGACUUUAUAAACUAGGUCGACAACUAGGUUACGGUUUUUAGAGUUUCAAUUUUUUUUUUUUUUUUAAGUAACAACUAUAAUUAGAGUUUUGUUUGAAAUGAAGUUCUGGCUGUUCAGAAAGGUGCCACAAGUUUUCAUGACAUCACAACUUAAAAAUGUGCAUAACUGUCAUCGGGGUGAACGGGCCCGGUCUCAUCACUAUUCAGUUUCUUCACAAAUCCAGUUCUGAACUGGAAAGAAAUGAAAACCACAAAGCUAACUGACAGUGACAGCCCACCUCUUAAGGAGCACAAUUUAAAUAUAGAUAUUUCAUUUUUACUGUUGCACAAAGAUGAAAGGGAAUCAGCAGCCCCUGCAUGCUUGAUAGUAAUUAUUUUUACUUUGGGGCACACUGAGCUGUUCAGCCACCUGUCCUAACGGCCAAGGAUGAGCCGUACUGUGACAGAGGUAAAGACAUAACUGUAUCUUGCUAAGGUGAGAAAAUUGGUCUUUAGGGUCUAAUAUAUAAAUAGGACAUUGGUAAUGACCAUCUGUAGUUUUUUGGGCUUACACAUCAUUCUAAUCAUGGUCAUGCCAGUUGCUAGCUAUUUUCUCCCUCUCUAAAAUAGGAUAAUCAUAGAACCUACAUCCAAGGAUUGUUGUGAAGAUAUAGAAUGAUAAUGCAGGUGAAGUACUUAGAAUAGUGUCUGGCUUAGUAUAAGUGCUCAAUCAAUGGUAGAUAUUUACUCAGUAAAAAUGAUUCUGAUGUUUUCCAUCUGUUUAUGUCAGAAAUUUCCAAGCAGCAGAAACCCAAAUUGAGCAGAAAAUAUCCUGUGGUUUCCUAGUACCCAGUCUUUCCAGGUGUCACUGGUGCUAUCCUACCAGAAGGACAAUGGGGAAGAGACGAGGGAACAGGGGGCUUCCCCAGGCCUCACCACCAGGGGGGACUCCAGCAGGCAAUUGUGGUGACCCUACUUGUAAGGACACUUUGCAGUUCUGCAAAUUCCCCCAUGCUUCUUCAUCAGCCCAUGUGAUCUAGAUCACUGUUUCUCUCCUUCUGGAAGACUCUUCACCCCUUCUCUCCCUUACCCUGUUAAUACCUGCUUGGAAUAUCAGUAUAACAGAGUAGUUAAGAGCUAUAAAAUGAUGUGCCUCUUACUAGGUGUGUGACCUUCGCCAGACUAAUCUCACCAAACCUUAAUUCCUUGUCUUUCAUAUAAAGACAAUGAACUACCUACCUCAUAAAACUAUUAAAAGAAUUGCAUAAAAUAAGAGAGAUCAAGUUCCUAGCCCAGGGACAGCACAUUGCAUGUAUUUCUGUUCAGUUCUGGUCUCACCACAGCUACAAAACCCCUCCUGACAAUCCAGGAAGGGCAAAGCACCACUGCUGUCUUCUCCUCUAGGACUGGCGCACACUUUGCUUAUGGCACACAGAGCACCAGCCUUGAGCCCCCCACUUACAGGCCUGUCUCCUCUGUUAGAGACACAUGAAGGGUACAGGGGCCCCUCCUGGUACAUAGUGGAAUCCUCCAGAUCCAGCAGGCUGCUCAGUACAUGCUGGGCAGUCAUCAAAUGUCUACUGAAGACAUAGAUGAAUCUAUCAGGAGGGUUGGAAGUAUUCAGGAUCAAUUAAUAAGAUUAUCCUAUCCUGCCACAGAUUUUCAAAAAGGAUUGAUCAUAGUUGAGUCUGUCACAAUUUUUAAAAAUCAAUUAUAUAGGCCCGGCAUGGUGGCUCACGCCUGUAAUCCCAGCACUUUAGGAGGCUGAGGUGGGUGGAUCACUUGAGGUUAGGAGUUCGAGACCAACCUGGUCAAUAUAGUGAAACUCUGUCUUCACGAAAAAUACAAAAAAUUCGCCGGGUAUAGUGGUGCGCGCCUGUAAUUCCAGCCACUGAGGUAGGAGAAUCGCUCGAACCCGGAGGCGAAGGUUGCAGUGAGUCCAGAUGGUGCCACUGCCCUCCAGCCUGGGCAGCAGAGAGAGACACUGUUUCAAAAGGAAAAAAAAAAUGAUUAUGUCAAUAGAGUGAAUAAGAAUGUUUAUAUUUGUGCACUCUUGUUCAUAGCAACAUGGGUCACGAUAGCCAAAAGGUGGAAGAAACCCAAGCCCAUUGGCACACAAAUGGACAAACAAAAUGUGGUUUGUACAUACUGUGGAAUAGUAUUUAGCCUUAGAAAGGGGGGACUUACGCUACAAUAUGGAUGAAGCUUGAGGACAUUGUAAUGAGUGAAAUAAGUCUGACACAAACAUACUGUACAGUUUCACUUAGAUGAGUUUCCUAGGGUAGUCACAUUGAGAGAGACAGAAAGAAAAAUGAUGAUUACCAGAGGCUGUAGGGGAGGGGGAAACAGGGAGGUGGUGUUGAAUGGGUCAAUGGGUACAGAGUUUUCAUUUGGGAAGACAAAAGGUGGUGAUGGCUGCACUACAGUGUGAAUAUAUUUAGUGCCACGUAACUAUGCACUUUAAAAUGGUUAAAAUGGCUGGGUGCAGUGGCUCACGCCUGUAAUCCCAACACUUUGGGAGGCCCAGGCGGGGGGAUCACUUGAGGUCAGGUAUUUGAGACCAGCCUGGCCAACUUGUUGAAACCCUGUCUCUACUAAAAAUACCAAAAUUAGCAGGGUUGGGUGGCAGGUGCCUAUAAUCCCAGCUACUCAGGAGGCUGAGGCAAGAGAAUUGCUUGAACCCGGGAGGCACACAGGUUGCAGCGAGCCAAGAUCAUGCCACUGCACUCCAGCGUGAGUGAUAGAGUGAGACUCAAUCUCAAAAACAAAUAAAAAAA